AUUGAACGCUGGCGGCAUGCUUUACACAUGCAAGUCGAACGGUAACAGGCCGCAAGGUGCUGACGAGUGGCGAACGGGUGAGUAAUGCAUCGGAACGUGCCCAGUCGUGGGGGAUAACGCAGCGAAAGCUGCGCUAAUACCGCAUACGCCCUACGGGGGAAAGCAGGGGACCUUCGGGCCUUGCGCGAUUGGAUAUGCCCAGGUGGGAUUAGCUUGUUGGUGAGGUAAUGGCUCACCAAGGCGACGAUCCCUAGCUGGUCUGAGAGGAUGAUCAGCCACACUGGAACUGAGACACGGUCCAGACUCCUACGGGAGGCAGCAGUGGGGAAUUUUCCGCAAUGGGCGAAAGCCUGACGGAGCAAUACCGCGUGAGGGAAGAAUGCCUAUGGGUUGUAAACCUCUUUUUUCAGGGAGGAAUAAAAUGACGUGUACCUGAAGAAUAAGCAUCGGCUAACUCCGUG
rnacentral:rRNA from 1 species